rnacentral:rRNA from 1 species
UACGAAGGGGGGCUAGCGUUGCUCGGAAUUACUGGGCGUAAAGCGCACGUAGGCGGAUCUUUAAGUCAGGGGGUGAAAUCCUGGAGCUCAACUCCCAGAACUGCCUUUGAUACUGAGGACCUUGAGUUCGGGAGAGGUGAGUGGAACUGCGAGUGUAGAGGUGAAAUUCGUAGAUAUUCGCAAGAACACCAGUGGCGAAGGCGCUCACUGGCCCGAUACUGACGCUGAGGUGCGAAAGCCGGGG